rnacentral:pre_miRNA from 1 species
AACCUUGGAUUGUUUGCUACCAGAGCUGUGGAGUGUGACAAUGGUGUUUGUGUCCAGUCUAUCAAACGCCAUUAUCACACUAAAUAGCUACUGUAGGGCCAUCCGUCUCUU